AUUGAACGCUGGCGGCAAGCCUAACACAUGCAAGUCGAACGAGUGGCGGACGGGUGCGUAAUGUCUGGGAAACUGCCUGAUGGAGGGGGAUAACUACUGGAAACGGUAGAUAAUACCGCAUACCAUCGGAUGUGCCCAGAUGGGAUUAGCUAGUAGGUGGGGUAAAGGCUCACCUAGGCGACGAUCCCUAGCUGGUCUGAGAGGAUGACCAGCCACAGUGGAACUGAGACACGGUCCAGAUGCCGACGGGAGGCAGCAGUGGGGAAGAUUGCACAAUGGGCGCAAGCCUGAGGCAGCCAUGCCGAGUGUAUGAAGAAGGCCUUCGGGGUGUAAAGUACUUUCAGCGGGGAGGCGUUACCCGCAGAAGAAGCACCGGCUAACUCCGUGCCAGCAGCCGUGGUAAUUC
rnacentral:rRNA from 1 species